GUGGACGCCAGUCUGCGUGGAGCCGACCUUGAAAUACCACCCUUUAAUGUUUGAUGUUCUAACGUGGACCCGUAAUCCGGGUUGCGGACAGUGUCUGGUGGGUAGUUUGACUGGGGCGGUCUCCUCCUAAAGAGUAACGGAGGAGCACGAAGGUUGGCUAAUCCUGGUCGGACAUCAGGAGGUUAGUGCAAUGGCAUAAGCCAGCUUGACUGCGAGCGUGACGGCGCGAGCAGGUGCGAAAGCAGGUCAUAGUGAUCCGGUGGUUCUGAAUGGAAGGGCCAUCGCUCAACGGAUAAAAGGUACUCCGGGGAUAACAGGCUGAUACCGCCCAAGAGUUCAUAUCGACGGCGGUGUUUGGCACCUCGAUGUCGGCUCAUCACAUCCUGGGGCUGAAGUAGGUCCCAAGGGUAUGGCUGUUCGCCAUUUAAAGUGGUACGCGAGCUGGGUUUAGAACGUCGUGAGACAGUUCGGUCCCUAUCUGCCGUGGGCGCUGGAGAACUGAGGGGGGCUGCUCCUAGUACGAGAGGACCGGAGUG
rnacentral:rRNA from 1 species